AGCAGCCGCGGUAAUUCCAGCUCCAAUAGCCUAUAUUAAAGUUGUUGCAGUUAAAAAGCUCGUAGUUGAAUUUCGGGAUUAGUAGUCUGGUCGUGCCACUGGUAUGUACUGGUCUUACUGAUUUCUCCUUCCUGAAGAACUGUAAUGCCAUUAAUUUGGUGUUGCGGGGAAACAGGACUGUUACUUUGAAAAAAUUAGAGUGUUUAAAGCAAGCUAACGCUUGAAUACAUUAGCAUGGAAUAAUGAAAUAGGACGAUCGAUCCUAUUUUGUUGGUUUCUAGGAUUGACGUAAUGAUUAAUAGGGAUAGUUGGGGGCAUUAGUAUUCAAUUGUCAGAGGUGAAAUUCUUGGAUUUAU
rnacentral:rRNA from 1 species